rnacentral:misc_RNA from 1 species
UGCAACCUUGUGGUCGUGGGU